CGAAGCGGGAAGGGGGCCGUGCCAUCCACGUCGCCACACAUACAUGCGCGAACGCGCAAUCAGGAAUACCCCCUCCCCCCACACGUGCCGCGUGUGCGGUCACCGAUAUCACGCACAGGCCAUGCUGACCCUCACUCGUCGAGUGGCCGGCCACCACGCCAAGCAGCGCCUGCCGCGCAGUCUGCGAGGGCUGCCCACCCCUAGCAUACGGCGUGAAUGGGGCAACAUGAAGAACCUGUCGAGUGAGGAGAAGAGGGAGCUGCUGCGCGGUGCAUGGCGAGAGGCGACCCCUGUUCAACUGGUGCCGGACCCGAGCAGUCGAGAUAGCGGCGCUACAUCGGAGCCCAUCACAUUCGCUACAGACGAGGCGGCAGACCGCUAUCUGGCCGAAGAGGAGGAGGAUGAGGUGGCGGAGAUGCACGAGUCCACGCUGGCCCUGGCGCGGCGCUUCUUUGUGGAGCUGGCAGGGGCAGCGGAUGAGGAAGUGGAUGGGACGCAGAUGCCACCGGCCCCCCAGUCGGACGAGGAGCGCCGUCGCGAAAUGCGUGACGUGCAGCGCGAGUUCUUUGGUGACUUCUACGUGGAGCAGGGCAUCAUUGACGAGUCAGAACGAUACGCGUUUGUGGACACCAUGCUACGGCCUUCACGGCCUCUCUUCCUGGUGAACAGUGUCCUGCCAUUGACGCGGCUCACGGUGCGGGAUCAGCUCGAGGUGCACAGCACAGCCUCCACGGGCCUCGACAGCGGCAUCGGGAGCAGCGGCUCGGCGGGUGUGGCAGGCGCGCCUUACGCGUUACCCGUCUUCGCGCCGACGCCCUUCGACCCGUGCCUGUACGCCGUGCCCCUUCCGCCCACCCAGGCGUUUGGCGCACCGCUCCAUGUCUGCUUCUCCGCCGCAACGUCGCGAUUGCAGUCACGGGUGCCUCACACCGAUGCUGCUACUCCAGUCAUUCGUGGUGAUUGUGCAUCGUCCGUGCUUAUUCCGAAAGAAGCACCCAGCGCCACCGGUGAUCAAGCAGCGUCGCCCUCCGCUGCUGCAUCAGUUGACCUCAUCGCCGACGCCGAUGCGCUUGGUGCGAUGAUGCUGGACGCGCCGCCGUACGUGGGGGCAGACUCUUCUCAAUCGCCAGCCGCAGGCCGGUCUGUGUCUCUGACGAAUGCCCCAAGAGAGCCAGCAGCGGCAGCAGCGAGCGACAGAACAGCUGCAUCUGCGCUUGCCGUGGCGGCUCCAGCUCCGAGACUUCCAACGCAGCCGCCAAGCCUCGCUCAUAUGUACUGGCUGCAGCGCCAGGUGGCCAGCAAUACUGUCCUCCACGUGGACGACAUAUCGCUUGUGGUGUCGCUGCUGAGUGUGCGGCUUGCAGCUGCCGCUGUGUCCAGCGAGGAUAGCGCGCCACAACCCUACGAAGUCGUGCUCUGCCAAGCGAGUGACCGAGACGAGACGGCCUGCACGUACCACACGGAAAUCGUGCAUUAUCUCUUUCGAGCUGCGCAGGCGGAAUCCAGCGACCCAGCCGCGGCGGACCGCUUGGCGCGUGUGGUGAUCGUCGUCGAGGAUGCAUCUUUCACAGGCCGCACCGCGGCGCAUCGACACCAGGUGAAAGGUGGGGAGCACAAAGGCUUGAGGUCACAACAUCGUCAGACCAAUGUGGCGUCACUUCCGUGUGACGAGUCCGCUGUGGCGGUGACGGACCGGUACCCGAACGUGGUGUAUCUCCAACCUCGUUCGCCAAACCGGAGGGGGCGGCCACUUACGCCUCCGCGUUGCAGCUUGACGGACGGCAGCUCAGAAGCGGCGGUUUCGAGCCUUCUCAGCAGAGUGGUGCUGUGCGUUCCCGCAACAUCGCAGGACGGUGUUCGCCCCCGUGGCUGGCUCGCCGGUGGCAACGAAGAGGCCGCCGACGAAGACUCCGAUCUCGCGCCGUUGGGAGGGCACACACCGUCGUCGUAUCGCCGCGGUGCUUACAGCUUCGUGUCAAGGGCGCCGCCGAACACCUUCGUGGAACGCUGCCAGAGGGCGAGCGCCAACUUCUCCAAGUUGCAGAAGCAGCUCUACGCGGCCAUACAUGCUGUGAGGGCGGACAGCUGUGGUUGGGUCAUCUACGCCACUCAGAGCGCCAACGUAAUCGAGAACGAGGCAGUUGUGUGCGCUGUUUUGCAGCGCAUUCGCAUGGAGGGUGGCGGGUUGCAGCUGCGGCUACCGCAACAGUCGUGCACGGCGGAGAGGGGGGCGGCCGACGACGGUGCGGCGGCUGCAGGGCAUGUGAGGCGACCGUUGGGCGUGGAGUGCGUCCCGCUAGAUUCACCUGCCAUGGAAGCGUGCAUGGCAUCCCCAGAGGCCACCUCCUUGCUGCGAUUGCUCUGCAGCGAGGGUCGGCCGGGCCUCAGCACAUGGGCUGCUAUCGAAGACGGAUCUGCGGGGCAAGAGGCGGAGCAGUACAGCCCGGAGCUGCGCGAUUCCGUUGCCCAGGCGGCGUGGCGAACUGACCCGAUGCGGACGGGCAGUGACGGCGGCUUUGUGGUGUGCCUGCGCGUAACGUCAGCAGCUCAGCUUCGGGAGCAUGAACAUGGGCGAAGCGGCGGAGCGGCUGCAAGUGUGCCGCCCCUGCCGUGCUUUUGGUGGACACAUCCGGACAGCCACGUCGUCUCGGCACUGACACCGGCCACCUUCCAGUUUGUGCAGAACAUGGAGCGAGCCGAUGUCGCGGGGCGAGGGCGCUCGUCGAAGGCAGUCUCGAAGAUUCUUCACGCGGGAGUGCCAGUAGGGUGCGCCCACCGGCUGCCCGCUGCGCCCGCCUCUGACUCUAGCCUCGGUGUUGCUGAGCCAGCACUACCAGCAGACUGCGGCAUCAGUAGCGCGACGUGCCACGUGGAUGUCCUGGGCGCCCUGCGCCGAUUGCUGCCGCACUUGACCCUUUCCGCUAAGGCCCUUUGUGAGCUGCUGCUGCUCAAGCAUGUCCAGUCUCACGUGCUGCGCAGGCAACUGCGCCUGCUCCAGAAGCAGUCAAUGGUUCAGCAGCGGCGGCAGCUCGGCGUUGAGGAUUCGGCCACUGACACGGCGGCCGAGACGCGCAACUUUCUCACGGCAGUGGAGAAAGCAGCUGAGAACCAUCUUCUGCUCUCCGCCCCAUCCUCCGCGAAGCUGUCUGGCCGGUUCUACGUGUGGGUGGGCGCAGCUGCCGAGUCGCUCCUGCCGUCGUCCGGGAUCAAGGCCACUGCUCAGGCAACGGGGAGCGCGGAGGCGCCGCCUGCUACUGCCGGCACUGCUCUUCACCCCGCUGUCUUGGCCGAGUUGGAGGCGGCUGGCGUUGUGGCGGAGGUCGAGUACCGGCGCCACCCCACUCUCCGUGACCCUGCCUCGUCUGUCAUCGACUUUACCGUGCGCCUCGAUGUGCCCCCAGAUAUGCCAGAGCGAUCCAAGCAUCUUGCAGCGCUGGAGGAGUGGCGAGUGGCGCUGCGGGACGCACUGCUGUACGUGCUUCGGCGCACCUGCAAGGACAGUGGCUCUGCUCGACUCUGGGCGAGCCCGUCCGUAGAUAGCGCCAGCGUGUCCGCAUCGCGGGUGGAUGCCGAUGGCGGUAGCGGUGCCGUGAGUGCGCCACGCACGGACGAGGUGCUCGAGCUUACAGAGAACGAAUACGAGACUGUGCACACGGCACAGCAUGUGCCGACUGGCGGAGUGGCGCACCCUCACGCCCUCUGGGUUCGCCCUACCUUGCCCGGCAUGGAGGCAGAGGACAGGAGGGCGGACUGGCUGCACGACACGAACUACCAGAAGUGGCGCCGACGUCGAGCGCAGCGGUGAACUUGACGUCAGAGUCUCUCGGACUGCCAUGGGCGUAUGCGCGCUCAUAAAGGGGUACGCAGCCACCUUUAAUCUCCUGCGUCUCCUUCCACUGCCAUGUGUUUCGCUCAGCCACACACACACACACACACACACACACCACCUCUCUUUAACGGCACAGAAUUGCCUGGCACAGGCGCGCGCUCCUAUGUCGCUAAAGCCGUGCGAGUGCGUACGUUCGCGGACCCGGCGGGGAGGUAUAGGGGGCUCUGCUGGGGGCCGCGCCAAACUUGACUGAGCCUUUAAGGCUGGUAUGUACCUCCUCGGAUGCUAGCCCCUCCCUCUCCACCGACAACGGUUUCUUUCUAUAUUAGGAAUUCGGAUCUGUGUGCCGGUUAUGCGCUCUCCCUGCCGGAGCUUUCUGCGCUCUUUGCAGCGCUAUCCACUCCGAUGCAUUCCGCGCCUAUGCGCGCACGCACCCGUCUCCACAGCCAUAUGAAGGUACACAGUGGCGCGGGAGGUACUCCUCUUAUCUCCUCUCCUCCCUCUCUCCGUGGGGCUUUUCAUUUUGCUCUCUCGCACGCCUGCUCUUGACGAAUCCACUGCUACGGUUGCUCAUUUUGCGGCACCUGCGGUGUUGAGCAG
rnacentral:misc_RNA from 1 species